ensembl:lncRNA
CAGAGACAGAAAGACAGACACGUGUCCCUGCUAACAUUUCUACAACAGGGCUAAUGAGGCAACUCUGGCACAUGCACUGACGCAGCAGGAGUCGCUCUCGCGCUCUCUCCAUCCAUCACUCUCUUUUCUCUUUCAUUCCCAGGUUCCCUCGCUCCCUCGCUGUUCCUCUCUCGACUCGCCUUCAUCCCCGGUGCCUCCGCUUCCACCGCAUCGCUUUGAAUCACAGGCGAAACCUGAAUGCUCAAUAAUUAAUCGGCGGGACGCAGAUAGAGAGAACAUGUGAGAGAGAGAGAGAGAGAGAGAGAGAGAGGGGGCGAGAGACAUCUUCUGCAUCAUCAGCACAGUGCUGACUGAACUGGGUCACAGAAAUAUUCUUGCAUUGCGGGUCAAAGAAACACGACGACGAUCCCAAAUCCCCUGCGGAAAGAAGCCCGGGAUAGACUGCUGUGUAUGUGUGUGUGUGUGUGUGUGUGUGUGUAUGUGUGUGUGUGUAAGACAGAAAGAGAGAACUAGUUUGGAUGGGCGGAGCUACCAAAAUCCAUCCUUCAUCCAUCAGCAAGUGGAGCACAAGUAUCAGUCCUCAGGGACAGACAAAAAUUGUGCCCAUGAUGAGUUGGCACCCUGUCCAGGUUGUUCCCUAUCUCGUGCCCCUGUGUGGAUAAGUGGUACAUUAAAUGGAUGGAUGGAUGAGUAGCUAAGAAAGGGAAGGGGAUGCGUGCGCUGAAGUAAAUCAGCUCGUGUGUUGUUGCGGCAGUGUGUUAUUUUGCUCUCGGUGUGUACGCGCGUGUGUGAGAAAUGUGGGAUUUGGGGAAUACACAGCAACUGGACAUCAAUGGCUGGGUCAGAACCAGUAGAGGAUAUAGAAUCCAUGGGGAGGUAGGAGAGUGUGUGUGUGUGUGUGGGGACUGGUGUACAGAAUGAUGGAUCACUAAGAUCCGCUGCUGAAUAGCACCGACAUGCUGUGUGCACCCAAACACACACUCGGGGACGUUUAAACUAAAUUAGGUCCUCAACGUCCAGCUUGCACGCAUUAAACGCCCGUAACGUUGUAAUUGAAAUUGAACCACUAAAAGCUUAUUCGCUCUAUACGGCCUUGAUGUAUCGAACAUAAAACCCAUAAUUAAAUAUAAUUACGACACACACACACACA